rnacentral:misc_RNA from 1 species
UUACCUGCGAGAUNUACNCCNUGCCGCAGUCGGCCGUCCCCUUCUCUCUGAUGCUGGACGGUGUCGCCGGCCACACGCCCAUUCUUGUCUACACUACCCGGUUGCCUCGGCGGGCCGCGCCCCCUAGGCUGCAGUGUCGCUGCAGCGUCUCGGGGGGGCCGUUCGGGGGAUGGAGAAGGAUGCCCCGGCGGGGUUGAUCGCUCCCCCACCCCUGGACAGCGCUCGCCGAAGGAGUGAUUCUCAGAAAUUCUACGAAAUCUCCAUAGGUGGUUCAGUCUGAGCGUUGGCAAGCAAAAACCAGUCAAAACUUUCAACAACGGAUCUCUUGGUUCCGGCAUCGAUGAAGAACGCAGCGAAAUGCGAUAAGUAAUGUGAAUUGCAGAAUUCCGUGAAUCAUCGAAUCUUUGAACGCACAUUGCGCCCUCUGGUAUUCCGGGGGGCAUGCCUGUUCGAGCGUCAUUUCAACCCCUCAAGCCCGGCUUGUGUGAUGGACGACCGUCCGACCGCCUUUGCAUCCCCCGUUCCACCGGGAGAGGAGANAGUGANGGGACGCGCCGAAAGCAGUGGCCAGCCGCGAUUCNGCCCUGGCAAUGGCACAAACACGCGUCAGACAGCGCUUUGCCAGUUNNCGAGCAAGGCACCNUCUGCUGUAGUACUGUGUGUCCAUCUUUCAGAGAGGACUC